CGCUGGCGGCGUGCCUAAUACAUGCAAGUCGAACGAGUUCUGAUUAUUGAAAGGUGCUUGCAUCUUGAUUUAAUUUUGAACGAGUGGCGGACGGGUGAGUAACACGUGGGUAACCUGCCCUUAAGUGGGGGAUAACAUUUGGAAACAGAUGCUAAUACCGCAUAAAUCCAAGAACCGCAUGGUUCUUGGCUGAAAGAUGGCGUAAGCUAUCGCUUUUGGAUGGACCCGCGGCGUAUUAGCUAGUUGGUGAGGUAACGGCUCACCAAGGCAAUGAUACGUAGCCGAACUGAGAGGUUGAUCGGCCACAUUGGGACUGAGACACGGCCCAAACUCCUACGGGAGGCAGCAGUAGGGAAUCUUCCACAAUGGACGCAAGUCUGAUGGAGCAACGCCGCGUGAGUGAAGAAGGCUUUCGGGUCGUAAAACUCUGUUGUUGGAGAAGAAUGGUCGGCAGAGUAACUGUUGUCGGCGUGACGGUAUCCAACCAGAAAGCCACGGCUAACUACGUGCCAGCAGCCGCGGUAAUACGUAGGUGGCAAGCGUUAUCCGGAUUUAUUGGGCGUAAAGCGAGCGCAGGCGGUUUUUUAAGUCUGAUGUGAAAGCCCUCGGCUUAACCGAGGAAGUGCAUCGGAAACUGGGAAACUUGAGUGCAGAAGAGGACAGUGGAACUCCAUGUGUAGCGGUGAAAUGCGUAGAUAUAUGGAAGAACACCAGUGGCGAAGGCGGCUGUCUGGUCUGUAACUGACGCUGAGGCUCGAAAGCAUGGGUAGCGAACAGGAUUAGAUACCCUGGUAGUCCAUGCCGUAAACGAUGAAUGCUAGGUGUUGGAGGGUUUCCGCCCUUCAGUGCCGCAGCUAACGCAUUAAGCAUUCCGCCUGGGGAGUACGACCGCAAGGUUGAAACUCAAAGGAAUUGACGGGGGCCCGCACAAGCGGUGGAGCAUGUGGUUUAAUUCGAAGCAACGCGAAGAACCUUACCAGGUCUUGACAUCUUUUGAUCACCUGAGAGAUCAGGUUUCCCCUUCGGGGGCAAAA
rnacentral:rRNA from 1 species